CUCCUGGAAACGGGUGGUAAUGCCGGAUGUUCCACAUGAGCGCAUGCGAGUGUGGGAAAGGCUUUUUGUGGCAUGGGAUGGGGUCGCGUCCUAUCAGCUUGUUGGUGGGGUAACGGCCUACCAAGGCGUUGACGGGUAGCCGGCCUGAGAGGGCGACCGGCCACAUUGGGACUGAGAUACGGCCCAGACUCCUACGGGAGGCAGCAGUGGGGAAUAUUGCACAAUGGGCGCAAGCCUGAUGCAGCGACGCCGCGUGCGGGAUGGAGGCCUUCGGGUUGUAAACCGCUUUUGUUCAAGGGCAAGGCACGGUUUCGGCCGUGUUGAGUGGAUUGUUCGAAUAAGCACCGGCUAACUACGUGCCAGCAGCCGCGGUAAUACGUAGGGUGCAAGCGUUAUCCGGAUUUAUUGGGCGUAAAGGGCUCGUAGGCGGUUCGUCGCGUCCGGUGUGAAAGUCCAUCGCUUAACGGUGGAUCCGCGCCGGGUACGGGCGGGCUUGAGUGCGGUAGGGGAGACUGGAAUUCCCGGUGUAACGGUGGAAUGUGUAGAUAUCGGGAAGAACACC
rnacentral:rRNA from 1 species